rnacentral:rRNA from 1 species
GUAGGUGGCAAGCGUUGUCCGGAAUUAUUGGGCGUAAAGCGCGCGCAGGUGGUUCUUUAAGUCUGAUGUGAAAGCCCCCGGCUCAACCGGGGAGGGUCAUUGGAAACUGGGGAACUUGAGUGCAGGAGAGGAAAGUGGAAUUCCACGUGUAGCGGUGAAAUGCGUAGAUAUGUGGAGGAACACCAGUGGCGAAGGCGACUUUCUGGCCUGUAACUGACACUGAGGCGCGAAAGCGUGGGGAGCAAACAGGGAUUAGAUACCCUGGUAGUCCACGCCGUAAACGAUGAGUGCUAAGUGUUGGGGGGGUUUCCGCCCCCUCAGUGCUGCAGCUAACGCAUUAAGCACUCCGCCCUGGGGAUACGGUCGCAAGACUG